GCCUGCACAAGCUCUCUCUUUUUGCCUGCUGCCAUCCAAGUAAGAUGUGACUUGCUCCUCCUUGCCUUCUGCCGUGAUUGUGAGGCUUCCCCAGCCACGUGGAACUGGGGCUGAAGAACCGAAACUAAAAUGGGAACACAUCACAACCCUCAUUGCAAGCCUCAGAGAAUUUGUGAGAUCCACUGACCGAAAAAUCAUAGCCACCACACUGUCAAAGCUGAAACUGGAGCUGGACUUCGACAGCCAUGGCAUUAGCCAAGUCCAGGUGGUACUCUUUGGUUUUCAAGAUGCUGUCAAUAAAGUUCUUCGGAAUCAUAACAUCAAGCCGCACUGGAUGUUUGCCUUAGACAGUAUCAUUCGGAAGG
rnacentral:lncRNA from 1 species